rnacentral:piRNA from 1 species
UCUGCCACUCGAGUGGAUGAAGGUAUAGGA